rnacentral:rRNA from 1 species
UACCAGCACCCCGAGUGGUCGGGACGUUUAUUGGGCCUAAAGCAUCCGUAGCCGGUUCUACAAGUCUUCCGUUAAAUCCACCUGCUUAACAGAUGGGCUGCGGAAGAUACUAUAGAGCUAGGAGGCGGGAGAGGCAAGCGGUACUCGAUGGGUAGGGGUAAAAUCCGUUGAUCCAUUGAAGACCACCAGUGGCGAAGGCGGCUUGCCAGAAUGCGCUCGACGGUGAGGGAUGAAAGCUGGGGGGAGCAAACCGG